AGUGAACGCUGGCGGUAGGCCUAACACAUGCAAGUCGAACGGCAGCACAGUAAGAGCUUGCUCUUACGGGUGGCGAGUGGCGGACGGGUGAGGAAUACAUCGGAAUCUACUUUUUCGUGGGGGAUAACGUAGGGAAACUUACGCUAAUACCGCAUACGACCUACGGGUGAAGGCAGGGGAUCUUCGGACCUUGCGCGAUUGAAUGAGCCGAUGUCGGAUUAGCUAGUUGGCGGGGUAAAGGCCCACCAAGGCGACGAUCCGUAGCUGGUCUGAGAGGAUGAUCAGCCACACUGGAACUGGGACACGGUCCAGACUCCUACGGGAGGCAGCAGUGGGGAAUAUUGGACAAUGGGCGCAAGCCUGAUCCAGCCAUACCGCGUGGGUGAAGAAGGCCUUCGGGUUGUAAAGCCCUUUUGUUGGGAAAGAAAAGCAGCAGGUUAAUACCCCGCUGUUCUGACGGUACCCAAAGAAUAAGCACCGGCUAACUUCGUG
rnacentral:rRNA from 1 species